rnacentral:rRNA from 1 species
GGAAUCUUCCACAAUGGACGCAAGUCUGAUGGAGCAACGCCGCGUGAGUGAAGAAGGGUUUCGGCUCGUAAAGCUCUGUUGUUAAAGAAGAACGUGGGUAAGAGUAACUGUUUACCCAGUGACGGUAUUUAACCAGAAAGCCACGGCUAACUACGUGCCUG